CACGUGAGCAACCUGCCCCAGGCUUUGGGAUAACCCCGGGAAACCGGGGCUAAUACCGAAUAUUACUGCUGAUCGCAUGGUUGGUGGUGGAAAGUUUUUCGGCUUGGGAUGGGCUCGCGGCCUAUCAGCUUGUUGGUGGGGUGAUGGCCUACCAAGGCGACGACGGGUAGCCGGCCUGAGAGGGCGACCGGCCACACUGGGACUGAGACACGGCCCAGACUCCUACGGGAGGCAGCAGUGGGGAAUAUUGCACAAUGGGCGGAAGCCUGAUGCAGCGACGCCGCGUGAGGGAUGACGGCCUUCGGGUUGUAAACCUCUUUCAGCAGGGACGAAGCGCAAGUGACGGUACCUGCAGAAGAAGCACCGGCCAACUACGUGCCAGCAGCCGCGGUAAGACGUAGGGUGCGAGCGUUGUCCGGAUUUAUUGGGCGUAAAGAGCUCGUAGGCGGCUUGUCGCGUCGACUGUGAAAACCCGCAGCUCAACUGCGGGCCUGCAGUCGAUACGGGCAGGCUAGAGUUCGGUAGGGGAGACUGGAAUUCCUGGUGUAGCGGUGAAAUGCGCAGAUAUCAGGAGGAACACCGAUGGCGAAGGCAGGUCUCUGGGCCGAUACUGACGCUGAGGAGCGAAAGCGUGGGGAGCGAACAGGAUUAGAUACCCUGGUAGUCCACGCUGUAAACGUUGGGCGCUAGGUGUGGGGAGCCUCUCCGGUUCUCUGUGCCGCAGCUAACGCAUUAAGCGCCCCGCCUGG
rnacentral:rRNA from 1 species